rnacentral:sRNA from 1 species
UUUGAGUUAGCUUUUGUAGCAUCUGCC